CACAUAUACAUGCUCACAGACACAUUCACACACAAGGAUACUCAGGCACACAUACAGGUCCACAAUGCCAGAGACACUGACACACUCAGUCAGCAAUGCACACACACAAUCUCAAGCACAUACAGAGUAGUUAGCGCUAUACACAUAGACACACUCAGCUUCCCCUACAGCUCUCAGUCUUCUUCACAUACACCACUUUGCCAGUUAUGUGUUAAGUGUCCCUUUGAAGUAGCAGGGACUUUUGUGGGAUUGGCUGUAACUCUUUAAUUUGCUGAAUAUAAAAUGAAAAAGCUGUUUUAUGUGUCGAAGUUGCAAGCUACAUCCACUAUGCCCUCACACAGCAUUGCUCUACACACUAAAUGGUUAAAUUUAAAUUGACACAACGAGGUAAACCAAGAAUAUUAUAUUAAAAAUACUCCAUAUGUUACUGUGGCAGUGAAAGGAAGUCACGUUAUUUUC